ACACAUGCAAGUCGAGCGAAGCGCUUAAAGUUUGAUUUUUCGGAUGAAGACUUUUGUGACUGAGCGGGCGGACGAGUGAGUAACGCGUGGGUAACCUGCCUCAUACAGGGGGAUAACAGUUAGAAAUGACUGCUAAUACCGCAUAAGACCACAGGGUCGCAUGACCCGGUGGUAAAAACUCCGGUGGUAUGAGAUGGACCCGCGUCUGAUUAGCUAGUUGGUGGGGUAACGGCUCACCAAGGCGACGAUCAGUAGCCGACCUGAGAGGGUGACCGGCCACAUUGGGACUGAGACACGGCCCAAACUCCUACGGGAGGCAGCAGUGGGGAAUAUUGCACAAUGGGCGAAAGCCUGAUGCAGCGACGCCGCGUGAAGGAUGAAGUAUUUCGGUAUGUAAACUUCUAUCAGCAGGGAAGAAAAUGACGGUACCUGACUAAGAAGCCCCGGCUAACUACGUGCCAGCAGCCGCGGUAAUACGUAGGGGGCAAGCGUUAUCCGGAUUUACUGGGUGUAAAGGGAGCGUAGACGGCAUGGCAAGUCUGAAGUGAAAGCCCGGGGCUCAACCCCGGGACUGCUUUGGAAACUGUCAGGCUAGAGUGCUGGAGAGGUAAGUGGAAUUCCUAGUGUAGCGGUGAAAUGCGUAGAUAUUAGGAGGAACACCAGUGGCGAAGGCGGCUUGCUGGACAGUAACUGACGUUGAGGCUCGAAAGCGUGGGGAGCAAACAGGAUUAGAUACCCUGGUAGUCCGAGCUAGUUGCCGAAGUACUACUAGGGGUAAGGGUAGCAAAAAUGUUCGAGCGCAGCAGCAGCAGCGAUAGGUAGUACAACGGGGGAAUACGUUAGCAGAGAAAGAAACUCAAAAUAAUUGACGGGGACCCACACAAGCGGUGAAGCAUAAGGUUUGAUUCGUAGCAACGCGAAGAACCUUGCAUGAUCUUGACAUCCCGAUGGCCGCUCCGUAAUGGGAGUUUGUCUUAAAAACAUCGAGUACAGGUGGUGCAUGGUUGUCGUCAGCUCGUGUCGUGAGAUGUUGGGUUAAGUCCCGCAGCGAGCGCAACCCCUAUCUUUAGUAACCAGCAUUUAAGAUGGGCACUCUAGAGAGACUGCCAGGGAUAACCUGGAGGAAGGUGGGGAUGACGUCAAAUCAUCAUGCCCCUUAUGACCGGGGCUACACACGUGCUACAAUGGCGUAAACAAAGGGAAGCAAAGCUGUGAGGCCGAGCAAAUCCCAAAAAUAACGUCUCAGUUCGGAUUGUAGUCUGCAACUCGACUACAUGAAGCUGGAAUCGCUAGUAAUCGCGAAUCAGAAUGUCGCGGUGAAUACGUUCCCGGGUCUUGCACACACCGCCCGUCA
rnacentral:rRNA from 1 species